UCUUUUAAUGGCUGUGUAGUAUUCCAUGGUAUCCCUAUCAAUCCCUUUACUGGGUAUAUACCCAAAGUAAUAGAAAUCAUUCUGUUUUAAAGACACAUUGCAUAUGUAUGUUUAUUGCAGCACUGUUCACAAUAGCAAAGACAUGAAUCAACCUAAGUGUGGACACUUAAAUCACACUAUUUUCAGGCGGAACAAAGCCACAUGGUAAUUCAAGCUAAGCUGACAAAUUCCACCAUUACCUUGAGUUCUCCAGGAAGAAAAUAUACAAGCGGAGACAAUCUCAUAACACAACUUGUAACAUCCGUCACCAAGAAAAAAGGAAAUACAGCAUUUCUUGAAUGCCAGAUAAAAUCCAGUACCUUCAAGAAGAAUAUGGAGACACCAAAAUGAGAAUAUCUCAGGAUCAACUCUCCUCCACACGCAGACAAGACAGAACAGUGCACAUAAGGUGCAAGCUAUCUGGGGUUCUUCUCGAGAAGACCGUUGUGCACUGGUAUCAACAAAAAGAAGGGAAGCCCCUGAGACGAAUCCUUUAUGGCUCAGCCAAAAGUUACAAGCAAGACAGGCCCAAUCCCCGCUUGGAGGCAGAUGAUAAACAUGAUGGUAUUUUUUACCUGAUCAUUAACAAUGUUGCCAAGUUGGAUGAAGCCACUUACUACUGUGCCUGCUGGGAUCUCACAAUGUCACAGAGUCAGAAGGGACCUGAAAGAAAACCUUCCUAUGACCACCCCCUGACUGCUUUCAUACUCCUGCAACCACAACAGACUCCUAAAUGCUCUUGUUCAUUGGUUCAUAGGCUGUUUGAACAGGGAGGGCCCUUGGAACAUAUUUAGCCCAAUGUCCCCACUUCAAAUGAGGAAACUGGGGGCACAGAGACAGCAAGUGACUUGUCUCAAGCUAGUUAACCACAGAGGUAGGGCCACACUCUUGCAUUUCAGAUUCUCAGUCCAGUGCCUCUUCCUGCCUCUCUUGUGGUCUGUGUUGAACUUCUUUCAGCAGAAUCACAUUUCUUUCAAAAGGGAACUGUGACAACUUCCCUAUGCGUCGUCUUCCUCAGUGGUACCCCUAGGCCCCAAUUAACUCUGAUAUCGGCCAAACAUGUAACUACCACACUGCUGAGAAGGGGACAAAGGUCAGCAGGGAUGGACUCCACACUCCAUCUACCCAUGUUGUCUUCCCAUAGCUAUUUACUGCCCUUUGUUUCUAUAGCUUCCUAUCUGUUCUGAAAUCCCUACUAAUCAGAGCAGUUUCCCUGGUAUGCCCAUCACACAUAUGGGCAAGUGGGAAGUAGAGAUUAACUUUUCUUCUGACUACAUUAGUAAAUUCUUAUAAUAGAAGUGCCUGCUGAACCAAGGCUGGAAUUUCCUACUCUUCACUCUGAAACCUGGAACCAAUCCUAAUUGGCUGGCCACACACUUGUUUCAAAUUGGGUAGCCCUGGCUUGAUUUCUGCUCUCUUAGAGUGACCUAGGCCUUGUUCAUGUCCAAGGCCUUACCAGCCACACCUAGAAAAUAGCAAGAACAAUAGUAGCAACCAUAUCUAUAUCAUUACAUUAUAGCUCCGUACCUCUCUUUUUGGAUGUCUGACAAGUAGCCAAAAAAUUAUUGAUUCCAAUUCCACUCCCUUCCCCCAAUCUCCAAGCAUGUAUUAUUUUCCUCACCAGACUUUCCUAUUGCAGUAAAUGACAACAGUAUAUUGUAUCAUCUGAUGCAAUGGCAAGGGUUUUUCUCAAGCAGAUAGUGUUUUGUUGACUUCCAUGUUUUUUUGUUUCUCCUGGUAAUGAGAGAAGAGUGAGGAGACCCAACUAUUAUUGAGUUUCCUGUGAUAUGAGAUCUGAAGGGAGGUUAUAGGACCUCUGGAAACUGGUUUCACCUGCCAGAAAGACACCCACAAACCAGGCCCAACCUUGUGUGGCCCAAUCUGAGACUGGAGUAGGCUGUCUCAACAGAUCCCCCAACCGAAACACUACGGACCCAAUGUAGAGAACACCUAGUCUUCUAACUUACUGCAGGUUUAGAAACUCUUUGUGUUCCCCCUGACAUGUGCAGGGCAACAGGCCAGCCAUGACAGCAAUGAUUGUCAUUCUGAAGUGCAUGGCUCAAAUGGCCUCAUGGAUGUUAUAAUCUCCUGGUGUCACUGAAAGACAAAUACAAAGAAAAUAAAUUGUGAGAUAUAAUUUGAUAUUCAGAUUCAACUAGUCCCACUCCUCACAGAUUAUUUUGCUAGGUGCUGGCACUGCCUACUCAUUGCUUUUUUGAAUAUGCAAAUCAGCCAUUUCAUCUGCUUUUUAUUUCAUUUGAUAUGCUCUGUGCUUCCUAGAAAGCAAUACCCAGCAUCCUUUAUAUGGCCAUUUGAGAUACAGAUUCUCUGUAUUAUACAGACCUAGACUAUACCUGGGAACUGCGUUCCUUACACAUAUCUUUCCAAGUAAUUGAUGAACAGGGUUUGGGAUCCAGAAAAUUUGCACUGAAAUCCUGGCUCAGUUUCAACUCCCUAAUUCUGUUUCCUCACAUGACUUUUAAUAGUAAUAACCAUUUAUAGGGUAAGGCAGAAAGAGAGAAAUGCAUAAUUGGUGCCUGACUCACGGUAGACACUAUAUUUAUGAGUUUUCUUCUCUUUCAAUAUCAAAAAGCACAGGACCAUGGAUUGUCAUCCUGGAGCAGGGGGAAGGGAAGCCAAAAGGAGAUUUGGGGCUUAGAGUAGAAUAUUAAUUUCCCAAGACAUUCUUCCAGACACAAGUCUUUUUAUGCAAACAUUUCUUGUUUGUCAAAAAGAAACAAGUGUUUCACCAGGCAUGUUGCCUGUGGGAGUAGUAUCAGUUGAAAAGUGUCUAUAAUAUGCAUAGUGGCAUGUUAAAUACCCCAAGUGAAAAAGAAACCCUAAAAGACUAAAUCAUCAGGUUAAGAAUGAAGGCAGGUGGCACAAUUGCUAAAAGGGAGACUGAUUGAAAGCGCAGUGACCUGGCCUCUCCCAAACACUGCCCCGGUGUUUUCAGAAACAAGUAAAGAUCCACUGGACUAUAUCGUAACAUAUCUGAUAUCAUCUAAGUGAUGACAUAUGUGAAAUCAAAUUAUGCUAAUUUUUGAAAGUUAGUGGUCCACAGAUGGUCAGUAUGUGAUUUUUUAAUCUCUUGUACAUGUCAGAUAAUGUGUUUAUUUUGCUUCAGACAGUGGUCUCUCUUGGAAGUGUCUUAACUUACUUCUGUACCUGAUUUAAUUAAGAUCCAUUAAAAUUUCUAAAAGACAAAUCAAUGUGAAAAAUAGUGCAAAUUAUUAUUUUGGUUCAUGUUGGCCACCAAACCCUGAAAUGAAAUGUGAGAUAUGUCUUCAUAUGUUUUGAUGGCCAAACAAAUUUGGUUGAAGCUGUUCUCUAUGAAAGUUAUUAUCAUCAAAUUUGAAAAAGUGAUGCAAAACUUCAAGCAAUGCAGUGCCAACUUGUGCUUUACCUCACUUGACUUACUUCUUAUUUAUGUAUUUGUUCAUUCAUAACCCAUCUUCUUGGAAGCAGGAUUUAAGUUGCCUCAGUUUGUUUAACUCAAGACAUGACAAAUGUGGCAGGGGGGAUGUGUGUGUUCCAAAACAUAAGGUUAGAGGCAAAAUUGCUCAUCUUUAUACACAUUCAUUCAGGUUUCAUUUUAUG
rnacentral:lncRNA from 1 species